CUGGACAGGACGGGAACAGAGACAGAGAAAAGAGGUAAAGAGGCACAGACAGAGAGGAUAGAAGAGAAGAGGGAGACAGAAAAGUCCCUUCUGACCCUGGGAAACAGCAGAGAAGAGAGGAGCUGGCAAGAGAGCGUCCUCCCCGAUGCCGGACGUCCGUUACCAUGCCCAGCUUCUCCCGCUUUUGUAUCAGGUCCACGCCCUGGCUCUGGACCUACUCUAGUGAGCAGCCCUUUCAUUCAGCACCUAUUUGGGAAGGCGCUUUCUUUGUACCGGCCACCACGCUCAGCUGCGCACAAGGAGAUCGCUGUUGUGGGGAAGGUCACCAGGCAGCAGACAGUUUAUUUCGGUCUACUCCUUGGAAGCAGCUCAUCCAUACAGCCCCUGUUCAAAGUGAGGGGAGGGCUGUAAUACUUCCAGAAGGAGGGAAGGCUUACAGAGAUUACUUGUAAUUCUUCCCUAAGCUUUCCACCGCUGAGACAAAACACCUGAGACAAAUAACUUCUAGGGCUAGAAAGACUUGUUUAGGCUAUCGUUUCAGUGUUCUUUAAAAUUAAAAAAAUUUUUUUGAAAUUUC